rnacentral:rRNA from 1 species
GGGUUUAAAGGGUGCGUAGGUGGAACGAUAAGUCGAUGGUGAAAGCCUACAGCUUAACUGUAGAAUUGCCAUUGAUACUGUUGUUCUUGGGUAUAGUCGGGGGAAGUGGAAUGCGUAAUGUAGCGGUGAAAUGCAUAGAUAUUACGCAGAACACCGAUCGCGAAAGCAGCUUCCUAGGCUAUUACUGACACUGAGGCACGAAAGCGUGGGGAGCGAACAGGAUUAGAUACCCUGGUAGUCCACGCCGUAAACGAUGCUCACUCGCUGUUGGCGAUAUAUUGUCAGCAGUUAAGCUAAAGCAUUAAGUGAGCCACCUGGGAAGUACGUCCGCAAGGAUGAAACUCAAAGGAAUUGACGGGGGCCCGCACAACCGGUGGAACAUGUGGUUCAAUUCGAUGAUACGCGAGGAACCUUACCUGGGCUUAAAUGUAGUUUGACUUCCGCCGAAAGGCGAUUUUCCUUCGGGACAAAUUACAAGGUGCUGCACGGCUGUCGUCAGCUCGUGCCGUGAGGUAUCGGGUUAAGUCCCUUAACGAGCGCAACCCCUAUUGUUAGUUACCAACAGGUUAAGCUGGGGACUCUAGCAAAACUGCCAGCGUAAGCUGGAGGAAGGUGGGGAUGACGUCAAGUCAGCAUGGCCCUUAUGUCCAGGGCUACACACGUGUUACAAUGGCCGAUACAAAGGGCAGCCACCACGCGAGUGGGAGCUAAUCCUUAAAAUCGGUCUCAGUUCGGAUCGAAGUCUGCAAUUCGACUUCGUGAAGGUGGAAUCGGUAGUA